GUGGGGAAUUUUGGACAAUGGGCGCAAGCCUGAUCCAGCAAUGCCGCGUGCAGGAAGAAGGCCUUCGGGUUGUAAACUGCUUUUGUACGGAACGAAAAGGUCUGGGUUAAUACCCUGGGCUCAUGACGGUACCGUAAGAAUAAGCACCGGCUAACUACGUGCCAGCAGCCGCGGUAAUACGUAGGGUGCGAGCGUUAAUCGGAAUUACUGGGCGUAAAGCGUGCGCAGGCGGUUUUGUAAGACAGGCGUGAAAUCCCCGGGCUCAACCUGGGAACUGCAUUGGUGACUGCAAGGCUGGAGUGCGGCAGAGGGGGAUGGAAUUCCGCGUGUAGCAGUGAAAUGCGUAGAUAUGCGGAGGAACACCGAUGGCGAAGGCAAUCCCCUGGGCCUGCACUGACGCUCAUGCACGAAAGCGUGGGGAGCAAACAGGAUUAGAUACCCUGGUAGUCC
rnacentral:rRNA from 1 species